GUCCCGGGCCGGGACAGCGCUCCCGUUCCGGUCCCGCUGCGCGAUCGGUGCCAGGCACGGCUCCGGGCAAAGCAGCGCGGCCCCACAGAUGCCAUCUGUGUCUCAGGGCGUGGAUGGUAACCUCCGAGGUGGUGUAGAGAACCUGUUGUUUGCUGAAGCUGCCUUCCCAGGAUCAAGGACAGCUGUACAUGAAUCCCAUGUCCAUGACACCUUCUCUGAUGGUCACUGUCAUCAGUCCUGGGAACCAGCUGUGUGUGUGUGAGACACUUCAUUAUCCCAGUCCAUGCUGUCCGCACUUCCAGCCUGUUGCUCCUCUUCUUCGUAGAACCAUGAAAUGAGUCCAGAUCGCCUUACAGAUUUACUUAUAUUGUAAAUUUAUUUUAGCUGACGCCUCAAAUUCUCAUUUGCAAAGCUCGGCCUUUUAAAGUCGAAACUCUAAAGCUUUUAUUACAUCAAGACAAGGUUGUUCUGUUUGCAGAAUUCACUUAAUCUCUUGCUCAAGAUGCAGAUGAGAAGUGAAAGGAUAUAUAUUAUACAAAAGAUUAUCCUGACCCCUCUAGAUGAACAAGAUUUUAAGUCCUCGGUUUUGUUUUCCCAGGAAUAAGUCCAGUAUGUAGCUUGGAAUAUUAACCGUAUUACACUGGCUCUUGCAACAGUGAACAGUAUCAUUCAUUCUCUGCAAAGAACCUGUCAGACAAUCACCUGCUUCAGCCAAACUACAAUUUUUGAAAAUAAAAUUUCUAUGGUACUCUC